UAGGGAAUCUUCGGCAAUGGGGGCAACCCUGACCGAGCAACGCCGCGUGAGUGAAGAAGGUUUUCGGAUCGUAAAGCUCUGUUGUAAGUCAAGAACGAGUGUGAGAGUGGAAAGUUCACACUGUGACGGUAGCUUACCAGAAAGGGACGGCUAACUACGUGCCAGCAGCCGCGGUAAUACGUAGGUCCCGAGCGUUGUCCGGAUUUAUUGGGCGUAAAGCGAGCGCAGGCGGUUUGAUAAGUCUGAGGUUAAAGGCUGUGGCUCAACCAUAGUUCGCUUUGGAAACUGUCAAACUUGAGUGCAGAAGGGGAGAGUGGAAUUCCAUGUGUAGCGGUGAAAUGCGUAGAUAUAUGGAGGAACACCGGUGGCGAAAGCGGCUCUCUGGUCUGUAACUGACGCUGAGGCUCGAAAGCGUGGGGAGCGAACAGGAUUAGAUACCCUGGUAGUCCACGCCGUAAACGAUGAGUGCUAGGUGUUGGAUCCUUUCCGGGAUUCAGUGCCGCAGCUAACGCAUUAAGCACUCCGCCUGGGGAGUACGACCGCAAGGUUG
rnacentral:rRNA from 1 species